GACGAACGCUGACGGCGUGCUUUAGACAUGCAAGUCGAACGAGAAAGCCCUUCGGGGUUAGUAAAGUGGCGAACGGGUGAGUAACACGUGGGCAAUCUGCCCUUCGUUGGGGGACAACCGGGGGAAACCCCGGCUAAUACCCCGUAAGCUUGUCGGGUCGCAUGGCCUGACAAGGAGAGGUAGCUUCGGCCAUCCGGCGAAGGAGGAGCCCGCGGUACAUUAGCUAGUUGGUGAGGUAAAGGCCCACCAAGGCGACGAUGUAUAGCUGGUCUGGGAGGAUGAUCAGCCACACUGGGACUGAGACACGGCCCAGACUCCUACGGGAGGCAGCAGUCGGGAAUCUUGCACAAUGGGCGAAAGCCUGAUGCAGCAACGCCGUGUGAGCGACGAAGGCCCUAGGGUCGUAAAGCUCUGUUGUUAGGGACGAAGGGCGAAGGGAUAAUAGCCCUUAGCCUGACGGUACCUUUCGAGGAAGCCCCGGCUAACUACGUGCCAGCCGCCGCAGUAACAC
rnacentral:rRNA from 1 species